AAAAAUUUGUUUGAUCAAAAUAAGUCCCUACGCCGGAGAAGACAGUGGUUGCCUCCUCAUUGUUUCCACAAACCAUGAAAUAACAUGUUUAAAACACUCCUAGACCUUCAUAUAUCUGAUCUGGGCGAAGAAAUCGCAAGAAACAAAGCUAAAACGAAGAAACCGAGAAGCUCCAUAAAUUCCGGCGAGAAGAAAUCAACUUGCGACUGGCCUUUUCUCUUCAACUGUGACGACCCAGCCCACGAGACCACCACCACUGAGUUCCUGAGGACGAGACGAA
rnacentral:lncRNA from 1 species